UAUCUCUAUGGUGUAAUGGAUGCACGACAGCCUACGAAGCUGUUAGUCUAGGUUCGAAUCCUAGUGGGGAUGUC
rnacentral:tRNA from 1 species